ACCUCUUCUGGUCUCCUAAGGCACUGCACACAUGUGCUGUGAAUACAUGCAUGCAGGCAAAAUAUCCUUGCACAAACAAUGAAAACAGGAAAAUUUCAGGAGCAUUAUAAGAAAUUGUAAGACUUUGUAAGCUCACUUCAGUUCAGUUAUGAGAAAUGCUGGGCAGGGCACCACUUCUUAGCAGCUGUAGUCCAGUAGAUUUGGUGCAGGGCGUUACUCUGUCAGUUCGGUUCACUCUGCUCUCACUUGACAGGACACAGCUAUCACUAAGGGAACUGUUGAUGUGAUUCUGUAACUUCAGGGGCUACCACCCACAGGAGGAAAAGACGCUUGCCUCCUUGCUAGGUUAGGUAGGACGAUAUACUGACCAUAUAUUCUUCCUCCAAACAGAAAUAGUAGUACAGGAAGGGAAGCCUUUGGAUCAUUACUCUCGGACAUGCCCUUUUGUUCUUGCUAUUUCAAGUGUUUAGACUGCAUUUGUUUCCCUUAGGAAAACUAUGAAGCUGCUGCCUCAGACAGAAAUGAUAUUCUCUGUUGAGAAUGAAAGCAUCUUUUAUUAAAGUAGAGCUAAUUUAGCCCACCUUUUACCUCCAACAAAAGCCAAGUUAUGUACUAAAUAUGAUAACUUGGAACUCAAAGUAUUUUUGAAAGGAAAUAUUUCACCAUAGUAUUGGUGAAGGGCACUAUGUGCCAAAAGGGUGCAUUUGUGACCUACAGUGAAACGGUGGGCCAACUGUGUAACUCUGCUGAGCGCUAGAGUGCUUGCCUGUAUGCGUGAAGCACUUGGCUUAUCCUCUGUACCACCAUACAAUUAAAAUAAAAACUGUGUGCUGACGAUGCUGUUUUCACAAGACAAAAUUAGUGGAGUCCAUGUGAAGUCGGCAUUAGAUUAAGAGGCUUUUUUAUUAGAGUGUGCAUCUGAAGGUGUGUCUUUGGAUCUAUUAAACACCAGCGGGUUUGGAUCCUCCAGGUAAGGAGAUGGAAGGAAAUCAGUGUUGUGUACGGCAGGUCAGAAGUGAGGGGUGCAGUUGCACUGGCGAUGGCGCCUCUUAGGGAGUUCAUUGGACUUUAAAGUAGCUAACUGCCAGGCUCCGUGCUAGGUGCAGGUGAACGGACAGAGCUGCACUGCCAGGCACAGUGCUAGGUGCAGGUGAACGGACAGAGCUGCACUGCCAGGCACAGUGCUAGGUGCAGGUGAACAGACAGAGCUGCACUGCCAGGCACAGUGCUAGGUGCAGGUGAACGGACAGAGCUGCACUGCCAGGCUCCGUGCUAGGUGCAGGUGAACGGACAGAGCUGCAUCUUUUUUUUUUUUUUUUUUUUUUUUUCCC